rnacentral:rRNA from 1 species
UACGAAGGGGGCUAGCGUUGCUCGGAAUCACUGGGCGUAAAGCGCACGUAGGCGGCUUCUUAAGUCAGGGGUGAAAUCCUGGAGCUCAACUCCAGAACUGCCUUUGAUACUGAGAAGCUUGAGUCCGGGAGAGGUGAGUGGAACUGCGAGUGUAGAGGUGAAAUUCGUAGAUAUUCGCAAGAACACCAGUGGCGAAGGCGGCCGACUGGUCCGGUUCUGACGCUGAGGCGCGAAAGCGUGGGGAGCAAACAGG